rnacentral:rRNA from 1 species
GGGGAAUAUUGCACAAUGGGCGGAAGCCUGAUGCAGCAACGCCGCGUGCGGGAUGACGGCCUUCGGGUUGUAAACCGCUUUCAGCAGGGACGAAGCGUGAGUGACGGUACCUGCAGAAGAAGCACCGGCUAACUACGUGCCAGCAGCCGCGGUGAUACGUAGGGUGCGAGCGUUGUCCGGAUUUAUUGGGCGUAAAGAGCUUGUAGGCGGUUUGUCGCGUCGGGAGUGAAAACUCAGGGCUUAACCCUGAGCCUGCUUCCGAUACGGGCAGACUUGAGGAAGGUAGGGGAGAAUGGAAUUCCUGGUGAAGCGGUGGAAUGCGUAGAUAUCAGGAGGAACACCAGUGGCGAAGGCGGUUCUCUGGACCUUUCCUGACGCUGAGAAGCGAAAGCGUGGGGAGCAAAC